UACAGAGGAGCCAAGCGUUGUCCGGAUUGACUGGGCGUAAAGCGCACGCAGGCGGUUGCGCGCGUGGGGGGUGAAAUCUGGCCGCUUAACGGCCAGGCGCCAUCCCAUACGGCGCGACUGGAGGCUUGCAGAGGUCGGUGGAAUUGCCGGUGUAGUGGUGAAAUGCGUAGAUAUCAGGAGGAACACCGGUGGCGAAGGCGGCUCUCUGGUCCACAACUGACGCUGAGGUGCGAAAGCUAGGGGAGCAAACGGG
rnacentral:rRNA from 1 species